rfam:Togninia minima TCRPA7 unplaced genomic scaffold PA7_03_scaffold_397, whole genome shotgun sequence.
ACCUCGAUGUCGGCUUAACUUAUCCUCAUGGAUGCAGAAACUAUGUAGGGUACGACUGUUCGUCGAUUAAAAAGUUACAUGAGCUGGGUUAAAUACGUCGUGAGACAGUAU